AGGGAGGUGGCUCCAGCACAGGCCCCUCUUCAGAGGAUGCUCUCACAGAAUCCCAGAGUCAUCCAGGUUGGAAAAGACCUUGAAGCUCCUCCAGUCCAACCAUGAACCUCACCCUGACCGUUCCCAACUCCCCCAGAUCCCUCAGCGCUGGCUCAGCCCGA